UACGUAGGGUGCAAGCGUUGUCCGGAAUUAUUGGGCGUAAAGAGCUCGUAGGCGGUUUGUCGCGUCUGCUGUGAAAACCCGAGGCUCAACCUCCAGCCUGCAGUGGGUACGGGCAGACUAGAGUGCGGUAGGGGAGAUUGGAAUUCCUGGUGUAGCGGUGGAAUGCGCAGGAUAUCAGGAGGAACACCAAUGGCGAAGGCAGAUCUCUGGGCCGUAACUGACGCUGAGGAGCGAAAGCAUGGGGAGCGAACAGG
rnacentral:rRNA from 1 species